GUGAAUCAUCGAAUCUUUGAACGCAAAUUGCACUCUCUUCGGUGAGUAUGACCGUUUGAGGGUCAGCCUAUAUAAAGUCGACAUCGUUGCUGUUUCGCGGUGGCGUUCGUCGGAAAUUGGGUCAUUUUAAAUCUUUUGGUUUUAAGCGAAUUAAUUUUAUAUUUUUGUUUCUAUGAACGUUUCUAAGAUUUAUUUCUUUGAAGGUUUACGGAAUUGAUUUUUAUUAGUUGUGAUCUUCAUGAGGGAUG
rnacentral:misc_RNA from 1 species